CCCCAUUUUGCAGAAUGAAGGGCAAACCAUGAAACUAAGCACAGAAAAAUUGCAUAACUCCCAAGAUCGCAUAGCUUUGGGAGGAAAGAUGGGAGCUAGAAUACACCUCCAGGGUGUCCCGUAGUCAAGAGGUUGAUGCUGAUGCCUGUGGAAAGAGCGGCUGAAGAUGGCUUCUCAGGCUUUCAUCUUGACCUCCUCCUCUUACUUCACACUCGCCCUGGGCUCCAGCCUCAGCACCCAAGACGUCAACCACCUCCCACCAGGCUUGCGAUGCCAAAUCUUUAUCUCUAGCCUGACUCCCAGCACCUUCCAGUCGUCUGCCUAGAGUGGAGGCUGGCUGGCUCCAGUUCCCUUUCCAACAGCAGCCAGGGUGGCCUGCCUCAAACGCACACAUCUGGCCACAGCACUCGCCCACGCCCGCGUAGGAGCUGGCCCUGGUCACCGUCAUCCACGUCAGAGAUCACAAACAUUUGGAAAUGUAACUUGUUUUUCAAAUAAAUGUUAUAUUCAAAACCAAUAGAAGAAACAGAUGAAAAGUUAUCUUAUUGGUAGAUAUGUACUUUAUAGGCACACAUUGUUAUAAAGCCAGUCACUCUGAACAAUGUGAGUAUUUUAAGAAGUGUAAACAUUUGACAUUCAUGGUCAUGGGUACAGUUGCAGUUUUAUGUCAGCCUUGGUAUUCAAUUUAUUCCUGCAUUUGUUUCUAUUGUCCAAUGUUGAGAAAGUUCAAUUCACAGAAGUAAGUCAUAAAAUUGUUUUGCUUUACUUUAUUUUUAAUUUUUAAACAGCUUGCCUUGAAAUCUCAGGAUGCG
rnacentral:lncRNA from 1 species